AUGGUGGAGUUCAGGAUCCUGCGAGGAGGAGGCAGGGCACUGAGGAGGAUCGCAACCCUAGACUUCAGGAGAGCAAAUUUUGGCCUCUUCAGGGACCUACUUGGAGGAAUCCCAUGGGUUAGGGCCCUAGAAGGAAGGGGCGUUCAAGAGAGCUGGUUAAUGUUCAAACAUCACCUCCUCCAGGCUCAAGAGCGGUGCAUCCCUAUGAGUAGGAAGUCAAGCAAAGGAGGCAGGAGAGCUGCAUGGAUGAGCAAGGAGCUCCUGGCAAAACUCAACCAGAAGAAGGAAGUCUACAGAAAGUGGAAAGGGGGACAGGCCACUUGGGAGGAAUAUAGGAACGUUGUCAGAGUAUGCAGGGAUGCGACGAGGAAGGCUAAGGCCCGUGUGGAAUUAAAUCUAGCAAGGGAUGUCAAGGACAGCAAGAAGGGCUUCUUCAAAGACAUCAGCAGCAAGAGGAAGACUAGGGAAAAUGUGGGCCCUUUGCUGAAUGGGGUGGGUGCCCUGGUGACGAAGGAUGCAGAGAAGGCAGAGUUACUGAAUGCCUUCUUUGCUUCAGUCUUUACUGCUCAGGCCAGCCCUCAAGAACCCCAGACCCUGGAGACAAGAGAGAAAGUCUGGAGGAAGGAAGACUUUCCCUUGGUGGAGGAGGAGUGGGUUAGAGAUCAUUUAAGCAAACUUGACACCCACAAAUCCAUGGGCCCUGAUGGGAUGCACCCACGAGUGCUGAGGGAGCUGGCAGAUGUUAUUGCUAGGCCACUCUCCAUCAUCUUUGAGAGGUCAUGGAGAAGAGGAGAGGUGCCUGAGGACUGGAAGAAAGCCAGUGUCACCCCAGUCUUCAAAAAGGGCAAGAAGGAGGACCCGGGAAAGUACAGGCCACUCAGCCUCACCUGCAUCCCUGGAAAGGUGAUGGAGCAGCUCAUCCUGGAGGCCAUCUCCAAGCAUGUGGAGGAAAAGAAGGUGAUCAGGAGUAGUCAGCAUGGCUUCACCAAGGGGAAAUCAUGCCUAACCAAUCUGAUAGCCUUCUAUGAUGGAAUGACUGGCUGGGUAGAUGAGGGGAGAGCAGUGGAUGUUGUGUACCUUGACUUCAGCAAGGCUUUCGACACUCUUCCAUAA
rnacentral:lncRNA from 1 species